rnacentral:rRNA from 1 species
GACGAACCGUGCGAACGUUGUUCGGAAUCACUGGGCAUAAAGGGCGCGUAGGCGGCUUAUCAAGUCAGGGGUGAAAUCCGGCAGCUCAACUGUCGAAGUGCCUUUGAUACUGAUGAGCUCGAGGGAGGUAGGGGUAUGCGGAACUUCCGGUGGAGCGGUGAAAUGCGUUGAUAUCGGAAGGAACGCCGGUGGCGAAAGCGGCGUACUGGACCUCUUCUGACGCUGAGGCGCGAAAGCUAGGG